rnacentral:misc_RNA from 1 species
GCAAAAUGUGUUCUUUUUCAUUUAAGCUCAGUAGGUGUCAAUGGGUAGAGACAAGAGACAUUUCAUUCUUAGAAAAAGGGAAAUUUAGAUUCCAAGAAAUGAUCAAAUUGGUCUCUACCCAUUGUAUUAUGUCGAACAGAAAACUAGUGUUUUUGUACAUAUAGCUUCAAGCUUUCCUACUUGAUUAUUUCCAUAGAAGGGUCCACCAAUAUGCUAUCUUUAGACAAGGAGUAUAAAU